rnacentral:rRNA from 1 species
UACAGAGGUGGCAAGCGUUGUUCGGAAUUACUGGGCGUAAAGCGUGCGUAGGUGGUUCGUUAAGUCUGAUGUGAAAGCCCUGGGCUCAACCUGGGAAUGGCAUUGGAAACUGGCGACCUAGAGUGCGGUAGAGGGUAGUGGAAUUCCCGGUGUAGCAGUGAAAUGCGUAGAGAUCGGGAGGAACAUCUGUGGCGAAGGCGACUGCCUGGACCAGCACUGACACUGAGGCACGAAAGCGUGGGUAGCAAACAGG